rnacentral:rRNA from 1 species
CGGCAACAGCUCAAACUUGAAAUCUGGCUCUUUCAGAGUCCGAGUUGUAAUUUGUAGAAGAUGCUUCGGGGGUGGUGCCGGUCUAAGUUCCUUGGAACAGGACGUCAUAGAGGGUGAGAAUCCCGUAUGUGACUGGUUGCCUUCGCUCAUGUGAAGCUCUUUCGAC